CACUGGUCGAGUGAUCCUGCGCCGAAGAUUUCCGGGGCUAAAACUUACUACCGAAGCUACGGCAUCAGUAAUGAUGGGUAGGGGAGCUUCCCAUACGGGUUGAAGCAUGACCGUAAGGACAUGUGGACAGCAUGGGAGUGAGAAUGUUGGCAUGAGUAGCGAGAUGUGGGUGAGAAUCCCACAGGCCGUAAACCCAAGGUUUCCAGGGGAAGGUUCGUCCGCCCUGGGUUAGUCGGGACCUAAGCUGAGGCCGAAAGGC
rnacentral:rRNA from 1 species